GACGAACGCUGGCGGCGUGCCUAAUACAUGCAAGUUGAGCGAUGAAGCUUGGUGCUUGCACCAAUUUGAAGAGCAGCGAACGGGUGAGUAACGCGUGGGGAAUCUGCCUUUGAGCGGGGGACAACAUUUGGAAACGAAUGCUAAUACCGCAUAACAACUUUAAACAUAAGUUUUAAGUUUGAAAGAUGCAAUUGCAUCACUCAAAGAUGAUCCCGCGUUGUAUUAGCUAGUUGGUGAGGUAAAGGCUCACCAAGGCGAUGAUACAUAGCCGACCUGAGAGGGUGAUCGGCCACAUUGGGACUGAGACACGGCCCAAACGCCUACGGGAGGCAGCAGGAGGGAAUCGUCGGCAAUGGACGAAAGUCUGAGCGAGCAACGCCGCGUGAGUGAAGAAGGUUGUCGGAUCGUAAAACUCGGUUGGUAGAGAAGAAAGUGGGUGAGAGUGGAAAGCUCAGCAAGUGACGGUAACUACCCAGAAAGGGACGGCUAACUACGUG
rnacentral:rRNA from 1 species